rnacentral:rRNA from 1 species
UGGAGAGUUUGAUCCUGGCUCAGACUGAACGCUGGCGGCAGGCCUAACACAUGCAAGUCAGAGCGGAAACGARACGUUAUCUGAACCUUCGGGGGAACGAUAACGGCGUCGAGCGGCGGACGGGUGAGUAAUGCCUAGGAAAUUGCCCUGAUGUGGGGGAUAACCAUUGGAAACGAUGGCUAAUACCGCAUAAUACCUACGGGUCAAAGAGGGGGACCUUCGGGCCUCUCGCGUCAGGAUAUGCCUAGGUGGGAUUAGCUAGUUGGUGAGGUAAUGGCUCACCAAGGCGACGAUCCCUAGCUGGUCUGAGAGGAUGAUCAGCCACACUGGAACUGAGACACGGUCCAGACUCCUACGGGAGGCAGCAGUGGGGAAUAUUGCACAAUGGGCGCAAGCCUGAUGCAGCCAUGCCGCGUGUGUGAAGAAGGCCUUCGGGUUGUAAAGCACUUUCAGUCGUGAGGAAGGUAGUGUAGUUAAUAGCUGCAUUAUUUGACGUUAGCGACAGAGAAGCACCGGCUAACUCCGUGCCAGCAGCC